AUGGCAAGAAAUGAUUUCGGAUUUGGUUCUUUGAUCAUAGAUAUCAAGCUUGAUGGUUCAAACUACAGGGAAUGGGCAUUUUCUGCCCGGACUGUCUUGAGGACGGCUGGUUUUGUUUCUCAUCUGACAGAUGAUCCACCUAGUCCAAAUGAUGAUGCAGCAAGGAAGUCUUGGCAAAAGAUCGAUGAUCGUGUGAUGGGAGUUUUAAUUCUGGGUGUUGAACCCUCACUCCGAAUGAGUCUUGAGCAUCACACUUCAGCUAAAGAGAUAUGGAAGUACUUUGAGCAGCGCUACCUUCAGCCCAGCAGUGCACUUCAUUUCUCCUUGUUGCAGAAUUUACACAACACUCGGCAGCCAGAAGACAUGUCCAUAGAAGAGUACUAUGGAGCUUUCACUCGCAUCACUGGGCAGCUAGGUUCCAUGGUUCCAAAGGGUAAUUCUGGUUGUGAGUCAUGUGCAGCAAAGGAAAAGUAUGACCAUCAAACUCUCAUGUUUCAGUUUGUGAUGGGUCUCAAGCCAGACUUUGAGAACAUUCGCACUCAAUUGCUUGGUCGUACGACUCCUCCCACCUUGACAGAGGCACUUGCUAGCUUGAUCGCUGAGGAGACUCGUCUCCGUUCUCUUGGGGCUACUUCUGCGCAGACUCUACACACUAGUGUUCUGGCUUUUCCUCAGCGGCCAGGUGCCUCCAAGGCCACACCUUCAACUGUCGUCUACUCGUUCUACAAGAAGGCAGGACACCACAGAGAUGGUUGUUUCAAGCUUCAUCCAGAGCUGUUAGCUGAGUUUCAGGCUAGACGGGCCCUCAAUCAGUAG
rnacentral:rRNA from 1 species